rnacentral:tRNA from 1 species
GGAUUUAGCUCAGUGGUAGAGCGCUUGCCUACCAAGCACAAGGCCCUGGGUUCAGUCCCCAGCUCCG